AUGGCCGCUCCGCCGCGCAAGCGGGGGCUCGCCUUCCGCACGGCGGCGCUCGCGCUCCUCGCCAUCCUCGCCGUCGCGCGAGGGCAGCAGCAGUACGAGGCCAACGCGCAUACCAAUUGCUACGGCAGAAACGGCAGCUCCGUGCUCGGCUACACCUGCAACGCCACCGCUGCGGCCGCUCCCUGCGCCACCUACGUCGUCUUCCGCUCCUCCCCGCCGUACUACGGCACGGCCGUCUCCAUCUCCUACCUCCUCGGCUCCGAUCCGGCCGCUGUCGCGGACGCCAACGGCGUUCCCACCGUCUCCCCGCUCGCCGACUCCUGCCUCGUGCUCGCGCCUGUCCCCUGCGGCUGCUCUCCGCGCGGCUACUACCAGCACAACUCCAGCCACACCAUCCAGUUCCGCGGCGAGACCUACUUCAUCAUCAUCAUCGCCAACAACACCUACCAGGGCCUCACCACCUGCCAGGCGCUCCUCGCGCAGAACCCCAGGCACGGCAGCCGCGACCUCGUCGCCGGGAACAACCUCACCGUGCCGAUCCGCUGCGCGUGCCCCUCGCCGGCACAGGCCGCCGCCGGGGUCAGGCACCUGCUCACCUACCUCGUCAUGUGGGGCGACAGCGUCUCGGCCAUCGCCGACCGCUUCCGUGUCGACACCCAGGCUGUGCUCCAGGCCAACAACCUCACCGCUAGCGAGAUCAUAUUUCCCUUCACCACUCUGCUCAUCCCGCUCAAGAGCGCGCCCACGCCGGACAUGCUCGUGUCGCGGGCGCCGCCGCCCGCACCAGCGCCACCGCAGGCCCAGCAGCCGCCGGCAUCUAGCAGCGGGAAGUGGAUUGCCGUCGGCGUCGGUGUUGGUGUCGGCGUUCUUGCGCUGGCGGGCCUUAUAGGACUGACCUUGUUAUGUGUCCGCCGGCGGCGUCCCCGGCCAGGCGUUGGGGAAAGGAGCCGUGGGAGCAAGGUGAUUCUCGACGUGCCCUCGUCGGCGGAUUACGACGCUCUUGCCUCGGGCAAGCAUACAUCGUCGGCUAUGACGACCUCCUCGUCUUCAUCGGCGUUGGUGUCCAGCGACGCGCGCGCGGCGGUGGAGUCUCUGACCGUGUACAAGUAUUCCGACCUCGAGAAGGCGACGGCGGGGUUCUCGGAGGACCGGCGGGUCAAGAACGCCCUUGUCCGCCUGUCCGGUUUCUGCGUCCACCACGGCGACACCUACCUCGUCUUCGAGUUCGCCGAGAACGGCGCGCUCAGCGACUGGCUCCACGGCGGCGGCGCCACCCUCGUGUGGAAGCAGCGCGUGCAGGCGGCGUUCGACGUUGCCGACGGCCUCAACUACCUCCAUCACUACACCAACCCGCCGUGCAUGCACAAGAACCUCAAGAGCAGCAACGUCCUCCUCGACGACGACCUCCGCGCCAAGGUGUCAAGCUUCGCGCUAGCGCGGUCGGUCCCCAUGGGCGCCGACGGUGGCGACGCGCAGCUGACCCGCCACGUCGUGGGCACCCAGGGGUACCUGGCCCCGGAGUACCUGGAGCACGGCCUCAUCACGCCCAAGCUCGACGUUUUCGCCUUCGGCGUCAUCCUCCUCGAGCUGCUGUCCGGGAAGGAGGCGACAUUCGACGGCGGCGACAAAAGGGGGGAGACGCUGCUGUGGGAGUCCGCGGAGGGGCUGGUCGUCGACGGCGAGGACGCGCGCGGCAAGGUGCGGGCGUUCAUGGACCCGCGGCUGAGCGGCGACUACCCGCUGGACCUCGCCGUCACCGUGGCAUCGCUGGCGGUGAGGUGCGUGGCGAGGGAGCCCAGAGGGCGGCCGUCCAUGGACGGGGUGUUCGUGACGCUGUCGGCGGUGUACAACUCCACGCUGGAUUGGGAUCCAUCGGAUUGCGGCAACUCUCGCUCUUCGAUCAUGGGGAGAUAG
rnacentral:rRNA from 1 species